rnacentral:rRNA from 1 species
UACGUAGGGUGCGAGCGUUGUCCGGAAUUAUUGGGCGUAAAGAGCUCGUAGGCGGUCUGUCGCGUCGGUCGUGAAAACUUGGGGCUUAACCCUGAGCUUGCGGUCGAUACGGGCAUGACUGGAGUUCGGCAGGGGAGACUGGAAUUCCUGGUGUAGCGGUGAAAUGCGCAGAUAUCGGGAGGAACAUCAGUGGCGAAGGCGGCCUUCUGGUCCAGUACUGACACUCAAGUGCGAAAGCGUGGGGAGCAAACAGG